rnacentral:rRNA from 1 species
UCAAGUAAUUAAGUGCAUGUGGUGGAUGCCUUGGCAGUCAGAGGCGAUGAAAGACGUGAUAGCCUGCGAAAAGCUCCGGGGAGGCGGCAAAUAUCCUUUGAUCCGGAGAUGUCUGAAUGGGGGAACCCACCUACUUUAAGGUAGGUAUUGCAACAUGAAUACAUAGUGUUGCAAGGCGAACGAGGGGAAGUGAAACAUCUCAGUACCCUUAGGAAAAGAAAUCAAUUGAGAUUCCCUCAGUAGCGGCGAGCGAACGGGGAUCAGCCCAUUAAGUUAUGUGUGUUUUAGUGGAACGCUCUGGGAAGUGCGAACGUAGAGGGUGAUAUUCCCGUACACGAAAGGGCACACAUAAUGAUGACGAGUAGGGCGAGGCACGUGAAACCUUGUCUGAAUAUGGGGGGACCAUCCUCCAAGGCUAAAUACUCCUGACUGACCGAUAGUGAACCAGUACCGUGAGGGAAAGGCGAAAAGAACCCCUGUGAGGGGAGUGAAAUAGAUCCUGAAACCGCAUGCAUACAAGCAGUGGGAGCACCUUCGUGGUGUGACUGCGUACCUUUUGUAUAAUGGGUCAGCGACUUAUAUUCAGUAGCGAGGUUAACCGUAUAGGGGAGCCGUAGAGAAAUCGAGUCUUAAUAGGGCGUUUAGUUGCUGGGUAUAGACCCGAAACCAGGCGAUCUAUCCAUGAGCAGGUUGAAGGUUGGGUAACACUAACUGGAGGACCGAACCCACUGUCGUUGAAAAGCCAGGGGAUGACUUGUGGAUAGGGGUGAAAGGCUAAUCAAGCCUGGUGAUAGCUGGUUCUCCCCGAAAGCUAUUUAGGUAGCGCCUCGGACGAAUACCAUAGGGGGUAGAGCACUGUUUCGGCUAGGGGGUCAUCCCGACUUACCAAACCGAUGCAAACUCCGAAUACCUAUGAGUACUAUCCGGGAGACAGACUGCGGGUGCUAACGUCCGUAGUCAAGAGGAAAACAAUCCAGACCGCCAGCUAAGGCCCCAAAAUCAUAGUUAAGUGGGAAACGAUGUGGGAAGGCAUAGACAGCUAGGAGGUUGGCUUAGAAGCAGCCACCCUUUAAAGAAAGCGUAAUAGCUCACUAGUCGAGUCGGCCUGCGCGGAAGAUGUAACGGGGCUAAAACUAUGUGCCGAAGCUGCGGAUGUAUACUUUGUAUACGUGGUAGGGGAGCGUUCUGUAAGCCGAUGAAGGUGUGUUGAGAAGCAUGCUGGAGGUAUCAGAAGUGCGAAUGCUGACGUGAGUAACGACAAAACGGGUGAAAAACCCGUUCGCCGAAAGACCAAGGGUUCCUGUCCAACGUUAAUCGGGGCAGGGUGAGUCGACCCCUAAGGCGAGGCCGAAAGGCGUAGUCGAUGGGAAAAUGGUUAAUAUUCCAUUACUUCUGUGUAAUGCGAUGAGAGGACGGAGAAGGCUAAAUCAGCCUGGCGUUGGUUGUCCAGGUGAAAGGAUGUAGGCAUGUAUCUUAGGCAAAUCCGGGGUACUCUAUGCUGAGAUCUGAUAGCAAGCUGUACUUGUACAGCGAAGUGGUUGAUGCCAUGCUUCCAGGAAAAGUCUCUAAGCUUCAGUUACACAGGAAUCGUACCCGAAACCGACACAGGUGGUCAGGUCGAGUAGACCAAGGCGCUUGAGAGAACUCUGCUGAAGGAACUAGGCAAAAUGGUACCGUAACUUCGGGAGAAGGUACGCUGUUGUUGGUGAUGGAACUCGCUUCCUGAGCUGACGACAGCCGCAGAAACCAGGCCGCUGCAACUGUUUAUUAAAAACAUAGCACUCUGCAAACACGAAAGUGGACGUAUAGGGUGUGAUGCCUGCCCGGUGCUGGAAGGUUAAUUGAUGGGGUUAGCGUAAGCGAAGCUCUUGAUCGAAGCCCCAGUAAACGGCGGCCGUAACUAUAACGGUCCUAAGGUAGCGAAAUUCCUUGUCGGGUAAGUUCCGACCUGCACGAAUGGCAUAAUGAUGGCGGCGCUGUCUCCAGCAGAGGCUCAGUGAAAUCGAAAUCGCUGUGAAGAUGCAGUGUACCCGCGGCUAGACGGAAAGACCCCGUGAACCUUUACUGCAGCUUGACACUGAACUUUGACCUUACUUGUGUAGGAUAGGUGGGAGGCUUUGAAGCUGGAACGCUAGUUCCAGUGGAGCCGUCCUUGAAAUACCACCCUGGUAAUGUUGAGGUUCUAACUCUGUCCCGUGAUCCGGGACGAGGACCGUGUCUGGUGGGUAGUUUGACUGGGGCGGUCUCCUCCUAAAGAGUAACGGAGGAGUACGAAGGUGCGCUCAGCGUGGUCGGAAAUCACGCGUAGAGUAUAAAGGCAAAAGCGCGCUUAACUGCGAGACCCACAAGUCGAGCAGGUACGAAAGUAGGUCUUAGUGAUCCGGUGGUUCUGUAUGGAAGGGCCAUCGCUCAACGGAUAAAAGGUACUCUGGGGAUAACAGGCUGAUACCGCCCAAGAGUUCAUAUCGACGGCGGUGUUUGGCACCUCGAUGUCGGCUCAUCACAUCCUGGGGCUGAAGUAGGUCCCAAGGGUAUGGCUGUUCGCCAUUUAAAGUGG